rnacentral:rRNA from 1 species
GACGAACGCUGGCGGCGUGCUUAACACAUGCAAGUGGAGCGACGAACCAGGCUUCGGCCUGGGGCAGAGCCGCGAACGGGUGAGUAACACGUGGGUAACCUGCCCUGAUGAUUGGGACGAACCCGAGGAAACUCGGGCUAAUACCAAAUGUCGCCCUCCGGCCGUAAGGCCUCGUAGGGGAAAGGAAGCUUCGGCCUCCGC